UAAACAGGGAUCAGUAAUUAUUAAUGUUAAAUAUUUUACAAUUAAUUAAUCAUCUUCUUAAUACAGAUAUCUUCGAAAGGACGGAAAACGCUGGAGACACUACUGCAACUGCACAGGCAAUGCCGUGUCUUAUAUCAAAAAACUUGAAACAUAUUUUAAAAUGUGACUCAUGUGACUGGUGGCGUCUGGAGUGUCCCUAUCACCUCCAAAAAUGGUUAUUGGUUUGUGUUUUCGAUAUCGUAUAUGUUAUUAACAGAUUUAUUAUUAGUGUUACAACAUAGUUGAAUAAAGAAAAUAUUUUCGUAAAA